UCGCGUCAUGCGCCGCAGGCAGGAGCGGGGGACCCAGGUAAGCGCCGCAUCCGGGCAGUUGACGCCGGAUACGGCUUGGGGUGAAGCCGCGUCCCGGGAGGGACGCGGCCGGGCAACUCAACCGGCCCGAACCCGACAGCUCACCUCGUAGGCGUCGGUGAGGGGAUCC
rnacentral:sRNA from 1 species